rnacentral:rRNA from 1 species
UGGGGAAUAUUGGACAAUGGGCGAAAGCCUGAUCCAGCCAUGCCGCGUGUGUGAAGAAGGUCUUCGGAUUGUAAAGCACUUUAAGUUGGGAGGAAGGGCAGUUACCUAAUACGUGAUUGUUUUGACGUUACCGACAGAAUAAGCACCGGCUAACUCUGUGCCAGCAGCCGCGGUAAUACAGAGGGUGCAAGCGUUAAUCGGAAUUACUGGGCGUAAAGCGCGCGUAGGUGGUUAGUUAAGUUGGAUGUGAAAUCCCCGGGCUCAACCUGGGAACUGCAUUCAAAACUGACUGACUAGAGUAUGGUAGAGGUGUGGAAUUUCCUGUGUAGCGGUGAAAUGCGUAGAUAUAGGAAGGAACACCAGUGGCGAAGGCGACCACCUGGACUGAUACUGACACUGAGGUGCGAAAGCGUGGGGAGCAAACAGGAUUAGAUACCCAAGUAGUCCCUGAGCGGGCUGGCAAGGCGCAU